GAGAAGUUGAGGCAGGAGGAUCACUUGAGGCCAGGAGUUCAAGUCCAGUCCGGGCAUAAUAAUUCAAGCAAAAAGAGAGGAACAGGAGAAGGAGGAAGAGAAAGAGAGGAUGAGGGAAAGGAAAGAGGAUGUAAAGAAGGAAGAGCAGAAGAGAAAGAAGUAAAAAUGAUUUGAAAUGUGGUGCGUGAAUCAGUUUGACAGGUAAACUCCCAUUUGAAGUUUAUAUAUUUGUAAUCUCAUGAUUAGAAAUGCACAGAAAUGUCUUUCCUGAGAAAUAAAAUUGAAAGUGUUUUCUUCUCAGAAACAUUUACAACUACAAACUAACUUACUAUUACAAACUAAUACAACAAGCCAAAGAAAAAAGAUCAGGCCAACAGACAACCCUAUAUAACUCCUUGGAAUAAUGUUUGCUAAUUUUAUUUAAGCUAAGAAAGUAAUUUCUUUGCACAAAAUAUCCUCUCUACCUUCCCGCAGUUUUUUUCCUCUGACGGAUAGGACAAUGUUCCAAAAUAAAUUUUCUUUUCUGGUACAG
rnacentral:lncRNA from 1 species